rnacentral:rRNA from 1 species
CGAGUCUUAAUAGGGCGUAUAGUUGCUGGGUAUAGACCCGAAACCGGGUGAUCUAUCCAUGAGCAGGUUGAAGGUUGGGUAACACUAACUGGAGGACCGAACCCACUGUCGUUGAAAAGCCAGGGGAUGACUUGUGGAUAGGGGUGAAAGGCUAAUCAAACUCGGUGAUAGCUGGUUCUCCCCGAAAGCUAUUUAGGUAGCGCCUCGGACGAAUACCAUUGGGGGUAGAGCACUGUUUCGGCUAGGGGGUCAUCCCGACUUACCAAACCGAUGCAAACUCCGAAUACCAAUGAGUACUAUCCGGGAGACAGACUGCGGGUGCUAACGUCCGUAGUCAAGAGGAAAACAAUCCAGACCGCCAGCUAAGGCCCCAAAAUCAUAGUUAAGUGGGAAACGAUGUGGGAAGGCAUAGACAGCUAGGAGGUUGGCUUAGAAGCAGCCACCCUUUAAAGAAAGCGUAAUAGCUCACUAGUCGAGUCGGCCUGCGCGGAAGAUGUAACGGGGCUAAAACUAUGUGCCGAAGCUGCGGAUGUAUACUUUGUAUACGUGGUAGGGGAGCGUUCUGUAAGCCGACGAAGGUGGAUUGAGAAGUCUGCUGGAGGUAUCAGAAGUGCGAAUGCUGACGUGAGUAACGACAAAACGGGUGAAAAACCCGUUCGCUGAAAGACCAAGGGUUCCAGUCCAACGUUAAUCGGGGCUGGGUGAGUCGACCCCUAAGGCGAGGCCGAGAGGCGUAGUCGAUGGGAAAUUGGUUAAUAUUCCAAUACUUCAGUGUAAUGCGAUGAGAGGACGGAGAAGGUUAAGUCAGCCUGGCGUUGGUAGUCCAGGUGAAAGGAAGUAGGCAUGCAUCUUAGGCAAAUCCGGGGUGCUCUAUGCUGAGAUCUGAUAGCAAGCUGUACUUGUACAGUGAAGUGGCUGAUACCCUGCUUCCAGGAAAAGUCUCUAAGCUUCAGUUACACUGGAAUCGUACCCGAAACCGACACAGGUGGUCAGGUCGAGUAGACCAAAGCGCUUGAGAGAACUCUGCUGAAGGAACUAGGCAAAAUGGUACCGUAACUUCGGGAGAAGGUACGCUGUUGAUGGUGAUAGGACUCGCUCCUUGAGCUGUCGACAGCCUCAGAAACCAGGCCGCUGCAACUGUUUAUUAAAAACAUAGCACUCUGCAAACACGAAAGUGGACGUAUAGGGUGUGAUGCCUGCCCGGUGCUGGAAGGUUAAUUGAUGGGGUUAGCGUAAGCGAAGCUCUUGAUCGAAGCCCCAGUAAACGGCGGCCGUAACUAUAACGGUCCUAAGGUAGCGAAAUUCCUUGUCGGGUAAGUUCCGACCUGCACGAAUGGCAUAAUGAUGGCGGCGCUGUCUCCAGCAGAGGCUCAGUGAAAUCGAAUUCGCCGUGAAGAUGCGGUGUACCCGCGGCUAGACGGAAAGACCCCGUGAACCUUUACUGCAGCUUGACAUUGAACUUUGACCUUACUUGUGUAGGAUAGGUGGGAGGCUUUGAAGAUGGGACGCCAGUUCCAUUGGAGCCGUCCUUGAAAUACCACCCUGGUAAUGUUGAGGUUCUAACUCUGUCCCGUUAUCCGGGACGAGGACCAUGUCUGGUGGGUAGUUUGACUGGGGCGGUCUCCUCCUAAAGAGUAACGGAGGAGUACGAAGGUGCGCUCAGCGUGGUCGGAAAUCACGCGUAGAGUAUAAAGGCAAAAGCGCGCUUAACUGCGAGACCCACAAGUCGAGCAGGUACGAAAGUAGGUCUUAGUGAUCCGGUGGUUCUGUAUGGAAGGGCCAUCGCUCAACGGAUAAAAGGUACUCUGGGGAUAACAGGCUGAUACCGCCCAAGAGUUCAUAUCGACGGCGGUGUUUGGCACCUCGAUGUCGGCUCAUCUCAUCCUGGGGCUGAAGCAGGUCCCAAGGGUAUGGCUGUUCGCCAUUUAAAGAGGUACGCGAGCUGGGUUUAGAACGUCGUGAGACAGUUCGGUCCCUAUCUACCGUGGGCGCUGGAAAUUUGAGAGGAUCUGCUCCUAGUACGAGAGGACCAGAGUGGACGAACCUCUGGUGUACCGGUUGUGACGCCAGUCGCAUCGCCGGGUAGCUAUGUUCGGAAGGGAUAACCGCUGAAAGCAUCUAAGCGGGAAGCCUACCUCAAGAUAAGAUUUCCCCGAGGCUUUAUGCCUCCUAAAGAGCCGUUGAAGACUACGACGUUGAUAGGUUGGAUGUGGAAGCAUAGCGAUAUGUGAAGCUGACCAAUACUAAUUGCUCGUGAGGCUUGACUAU